UACGUAGGGAGCAAGCGUUGUCCGGAAUCAUUGGGCGUAAAGCGCGCGUAGGUGGCCUCAUAAGUCCGCUGUGAAAGUCAAAGGCUCAACCUUUGAAAGCCGGUGGAUACUGUGAGGCUAGAGUACGGAAGAGGCGAGUGGAAUUCCUGGUGUAGCGGUGGAAUGCGCAGAUAUCAGGAGGAACACCAAUAGUGAAGGCAGCUCGCUGGGACGUUACUGACACUGAGGCGCGAAAGCGUGGGGAGCGAACAGG
rnacentral:rRNA from 1 species